UGAAAUCCAUCGUCAUUCUUCACGGAACAGAAUCAAAAUCCCCUUUGCUUACCCAUGUUCUCUUCCUUUCAUACAACUUUAUCUGAGCAACAUUCGCCAUUGUCGGUUGGUUGCACAGCUUUAACAGCUUUUUGUCCAUUCAUUUAGCUCUUCAAAUCCAUCCAAAAUCUUCACUCCUCGCUGUCUUAAGCUCACUCGCCAUCUUUUCUUUAUGUACAAAUCUGCC
rnacentral:misc_RNA from 1 species